rnacentral:rRNA from 1 species
AUUGAACGCUGGCGGCAGGCCUAACACAUGCAAGUCGCACGAGUGGCGGACGGGUGAGUAAUGUCUGGGAACCUGCCCGAUGGAUGGGUAUACCUCCUGGAAACAGUAGCUAAUCCCGCCUACCAUCGGAUUUUCCCAGAUGGGAUUAGCUAGUAGGUGGGGUAACGGCUCACCUAGGCGACGAUCCCUAGCUGGUCUGAGAGGAUGACCGGCCACACGGGAACUGAGACACGGUCCAGACUCCUACGGGAGGCAGCAGUGGGGAAUAUUGCACAAUGGGCGAAAGCCUGAUGCAGCAAUGCCGCGUGUAUGAAGAAGGCCUUCGGGUUGUAAAGUACUGUCAGCGAGGAGGCGUUACUCGCAGAAGAAGCACCGGCUAACUCCGUGCCAGCAGCCGCGGUAAUAC